rnacentral:rRNA from 1 species
GACGAACGCUGGCGGCGUGCUCAACACAUGCAAGUCGAACGGAAAGGCCCUUCUUUUGUGGGGUGCUCGAGUGGCGAACGGGUGAGUAACACGUGAGUAACCUGCCCUUGACUUUGGGAUAACUUCAGGAAACUGGGGCUAAUACCGGAUAGGAGCUCCUGCUGCAUGGUGGGGGUUGGAAAGUUUCGGCGGUUGGGGAUGGACUCGCGGCUUAUCAGCUUGUUGGUGGGGUAGUGGCUUACCAAGGCUUUGACGGGUAGCCGGCCUGAGAGGGUGACCGGCCACAUUGGGACUGAGAUACGGCCCAGACUCCUACGGGAGGCAGCAGUGGGGAAUAUUGCACAAUGGGCGGAAGCCUGAUGCAGCAACGCCGCGUGCGGGAUGACGGCCUUCGGGUUGUAAACCGCUUUCGCCUGUGACGAAGCGUGAGUGACGGUAAUGGGUAAAGAAGCACCGGCUAACUACGUG